CGACGGGCCAUUAUUACUUUUGGUACGCGCUGUGACACUGCAAACUCGUACCGUGAGUAAUAAUGCGCCGUCG
rnacentral:pre_miRNA from 10 species